rnacentral:lncRNA from 1 species
CGCAUAAGGUACCAUAACACGUAACUUGUCAAGAAGCCAAAUAAUAUCGAACAAAUUCAAAUGGGAUGUUGUUUUUCUCAUUCUGAAUACAUGUAUAUCUGUAUUUGUCCUGGUCUUUUAAGGUUUUAUCGUCUAUAAGAUAAUAUAUAUUUUAACCGGAGAACAUCUCACAUCAGUUGUUCAUAGAACACCUUGUGUUACUAACACAUGUUAUAUUAUAUAUGGCCUUUUCUGGCAUUUUAACAAAUCGGCCAUUCGUUGUGAUACAGAUGCAACAGAUUCUUGAUGUUUUACCUACAAUCACGAUGUGUAGUGUAAUUGAUUUGGUUUUUUUUGGUGUUGUCUUAUUUUCUGAUGACUUAGGUACCGGUGCAGGGAAGGUUGUAAAAAUGUCAGUACUAGUAUCUACACAGUUAGUGAAUUGGCGACAAAACUGAUUGCUGUUGACUGCAUUUGUUACAUAUUAUACCAUGUUCAAAAAAGGUUUCGAAAAAUUGUUUGUGUUGUUUUGAAACUUGUAUACAAUGGCCUUAUUUUAUGUUAUGUAUAUAUUACACACGCAACAGUUGGGAUUUAUUGCUAAAACAUAGAAUUCUCGUGUUAUUGGUUAUGUACAGGCACCUAUUUCAGUUUGACGGCAGUUGUUUCUUGCAUAUGUUAUAAAUGUAAACACAUGAAUAGAAAGGCAAGAGUAUGGACAGUCAUAGGAAUGCACACAAUAAGCGAUACAGUACUUUUUUCUUUAAUCAAAUGAUUUAUACUAUAUAGUCAAAAUGAACCAGAAUGACUAUGAGUUAAGCAAACAUCCGGAAAAAUAUGAUAGAAACAUUAAAAUUUAAUAUAACA